rnacentral:rRNA from 1 species
AGUUUGAUUAUGGCUCAGGAUGAACGCUAGCUACAGGCUUAACACAUGCAAGUCGCGGGGCAGCAUGACGAUGCUGCAAUUGUGAUGGCGACCGGCGCACGGGUGAGUAACGCGUAUCCAACCUUCCCCAUAGUAGGGUAUAGCCCGGCGAAAGUCGGAUUAAUCCCCUAUGUUGUUUGAAGCGGACAUCUAAUUCAAACCAAAGAUUCAUCGCUAUGGGAUGGGGAUGCGUCUGAUUAGGUUGCAGGCGGGGUAACGGCCCACCUGGCCGACGAUCAGUAGGGGUUCCCGAGAGGAAGGUCCCCCACACUGGUACUGAGACACGGACCAGACUCCUACGGGAGGCAGCAGUGAGGAAUAUUGGUCAAUGGGCGCGAGCCUGAACCAGCCAAGUAGCGUGCCAGGAUGACGGCCCUACGGGUUGUAAACUGCUUUUAUGCGGGGAUAAAGUGCGGCACGUGUGCCGUUUUGCAGGUACCGCAUGAAUAAGGACCGGCUAAUUCCGUGCCAGCCGCUGC